rnacentral:rRNA from 1 species
AUCCUGGCUCAGGAUGAACGCUAGCUACAGGCUUAACACAUGCAAGUCGAGGGGCAGCAUCGCGAUAGCUUGCUAUUGCGGAUGGCGACCGGCGCACGGGUGAGUAACGCGUAUCCAACCUGCCCACCACUUGGGGAUAACCUUGCGAAAGUAAGACUAAUACCCAAUGACGUCUCUAGAAGACAUCUGAAAGGGAUUUAAAAGAUUUUAUCGGUGAUGGAUGGGGAUGCGUCUGAUUAGCUUGUUGGCGGGGUAACGGCCCACCAAGGCAACGAUCAGUAGGGGUUCUGAGAGGAAGGUCCCCCACAUUGGAACUGAGACACGGUCCAAACUCCUACGGGAGGCAGCAGUGAGGAAUAUUGGUCAAUGGGCGAGAGCCUGAACCAGCCAAGUAGCGUGCAGGACGACGGCCCUAUGGGUUGUAAACUGCUUUUAUAAGGGAAUAAAGUGGGUCUCGUGAGACUUUUUGCAUGUACCUUAUGAAUAAGGACCGGCUAAUUCCGUG